rnacentral:rRNA from 1 species
GAUGAACGCUGGCGGCGUGCCUAAUACAUGCAAGUCGAGCGAACAGACGAGGAGCUUGCUCCUCUGACGUUAGCGGCGGACGGGUGAGUAACACGUGGAUAACCUACCUAUAAGACUGGGAUAACUUCGGGAAACCGGAGCUAAUACCGGAUAAUAUAUUGAACCGCAUGGUUCAAUAGUGAAAGACGGUUUUGCUGGCACUUAUCGAUGGAUCCGCGCCGCAUUAGCUAGUUGGUAAGGUAACGGCUUACCAAGGCAAGGAUGCGUAGCCGACCUGAGAGGGUGAUCGGCCACACUGGAACUGAGACACGGUCCAGACUCCUACGGGAGGCAGCAGUAGGGAAUCUUCCGCAAUGGGCGAAAGCCUGACGGAGCAACGCCGCGUGAGUGAUGAAGGUCUUCGGAUCGUAAAACUCUGUUAUUAGGGAAGAACAAAUGUGUAAGUAACUAUGCACGUCUUGACGGUACCUAAUCAGAAAGCCACGGCUAACUACGUG